GCACUGCGACUCCGUGCCAGGAAGGAAAGGGUGGGCGUCAUCAGACGGUCCACGAUGCUGCUCUCCCAUGCGCUCAGCUGCAGGCUGCGAUCUAGAGGGACAAUACCAGAAGGCGGUUACCGCAGAAGGCCACAGUAGGCAGAGGCAUAGGGAGACCUCCAGGUGCCAAGCCCAACGAGUUUCUCCCAGGAGGACUCUCCUUCCAAUCAUGUGGGGCCACACUUAUCUGCCCUGGGGUCUGACCUCCACUGCAGACCCAGGCAAUAAGACACUUCCCAGGGCAAUGUGUACAUUGCUUGAGGGUGCCCUCCUACCACUCUCCCAGGUGAAAGGUCUCUGAACUUUGACAGGAACAAAGAAGGCUAAUCUAAAAUGACAGAGGUUUGAGGAGCAAGCCCAAUGAAGAGAAUCUGCCUCCGACUUGGUGGUGGACGUCCUUGGGAAGGGACACCAUGGUUUACAGAUCACUCCAGAAGACACGCCCCAACCUUGCCCAGCCACCCACCAGCCCCUCCAGCCCACUCACUGGUCUUACGUCCUGGGGAGCUGUGGUGCAGGGCCCCUGCCCAAGACCAACGCUGCUGCCGGAUUUCAGCCCACGUCUUCUUCACUGACCGCUGGAUAGCUGCUUCAUAGCGCUCCUGAAGGAGAAAGGGGAGAGGAGAGAGAAGACAUCAAAAUGCCGUGUAAGGACGCCACAUGAUUUGCCUCCCCCUAGACUGUGAGGAAGCCCUACAAGGACUGGGCCAUGUCUGCUUUCUUGCUGCUGCAUCACGAGCAGCUACCACAGUGCCAAGUACAUGGAAACGGUCAUGAAAUGCUGUUGCAUGAGAAUAAAGCGCUGUACUCAGAAGGCACUGUGGCCUAAAACAGGGUGUAGAGAAGGAGAUUUUUACUUGAAUAAAGAGAAAUCCAUGUGGCAAUUUACUGCAAAUGAAUAAACACUUCAAGAGAAGCAAAACAACUCCAUCUCAAUUGAGUCUGAGCAGCUUCCUGGACUAAGGCAUUCAGGUAGAAGUUAACAGAGCUAAUAGUGAGUGUUUACUCCAGUGGCUCAGCAACAAAGACUUCUCAGGAGGCACACAGCACAUCUGGAGCUCUUCUUCUGACCUGGUGGACCAUUGAACCUGAGUACAGAUAUUUUCCUGAGAAUGAUGCAACUCUGACGAAAUGUCAUUGGGACAGUGUUAUCCAGGACAAAUUGUAUUAAGCCAAAUUAAUUCCUUGGUUAAUUAUCUAUAUAAUACAGUGAAGCCAAUUUCUGAUUA